UGGGGAAUCUUGGACAAUGGGGGCAACCCUGAUCCAGCCAUGCCGCGUGAGUGAUGAAGGCCUUAGGGUCGUAAAGCUCUUUCGCCUGUGAAGAUAAUGACGGUAGCAGGUAAAGAAACCCCGGCUAACUCCGUGCCAGCAGCCGCGGUAAUACGGAGGGGGUUAGCGUUGUUCGGAAUUACUGGGCGUAAAGCGCACGUAGGCGGACCAGAAAGUUGGGGGUGAAAUCCCGGGGGCUCAACCCCGGAAACUGCCUCCAAAACUAUUGGUCUAGAGUUCGAGAGAGGUGAGUGGAAUUCCAAGUGUAGAGGUGAAAUUCGUAGAUAUUUGGAGGAACACCAGUGGCGAAGGCGGCUCACUGGCUCGAUACUGACGCUGAGGUGCGAAAGUGUGGGGAGCAAAACAGGAUUAGAUACCCUGGUAGUCCACACCGUAAAACGAUGAAUGCCAGUCGUC
rnacentral:rRNA from 1 species